rnacentral:rRNA from 1 species
UGACAGCCCCGUACACAAAAAUGCACAUGCUGUGAGCUCGAUGAGUAGGGCGGGACACGUGGUAUCCUGUCUGAAUAUGGGGGGACCAUCCUCCAAGGCUAAAUACUCCUGACUGACCGAUAGUGAACCAGUACCGUGAGGGAAAGGCGAAAAGAACCCCGGCGAGGGGAGUGAAAAAGAACCUGAAACCGUGUACGUACAAGCAGUGGGAGCACGCUUAGGCGUGUGACUGCGUACCUUUUGUAUAAUGGGUCAGCGACUUAUAUUCUGUAGCAAGGUUAACCGAAUAGGGGAGCCGAAGGGAAACCGAGUCUUAACUGGGCGUUAAGUUGCAGGGUAUAGACCCGAAACCCGGUGAUCUAGCCAUGGGCAGGUUGAAGGUUGGGUAACACUAACUGGAGGACCGAACCGACUAAUGUUGAAAAAUUAGCGGAUGACUUGUGGCUGGGGGUGAAAGGCCAAUCAAACCGGGAGAUAGCUGGUUCUCCCCGAAAGCUAUUUAGGUAGCGCCUCGUGAAUUCAUCUCCGGGGGUAGAGCACUGUUUCGGCAAGGGGGUCAUCCCGACUUACCAACCCGAUGCAAACUGCGAAUACCGGAGAAUGUUAUCACGGGAGACACACGGCGGGUGCUAACGUCCGUCGUGAAGAGGGAAACAACCCAGACCGCCAGCUAAGGUCCCAAAGUCAUGGUUAAGUGGGAAACGAUGUGGGAAGGCCCAGACAGCCAGGAUGUUGGCUUAGAAGCAGCCAUCAUUUAAAGAAAGCGUAAUAGCUCACUGGUCGAGUCGGCCUGCGCGGAAGAUGUAACGGGGCUAAACCAUGCAC